rnacentral:rRNA from 1 species
UACGGGGGGAGCAAGCGUUGUUCGGAUUUACUGGGCGCAAAGGGCGCGUAGGCGGCCACCGCAAGUCGGUUGUGAAAUCUCUGGGCUUAACCCAGAAAGGUCAACCGAUACUGCGGGGCUAGAGUGCAGAAGGGGCAACUGGAAUUCUCGGUGUAGCGGUGAAAUGCGUAGAUAUCGAGAGGAACACCAAUUGCGAAGGCAGCUCGCUGGGACGUCACUGACGCUGAGACGCGAAAGCGUGGGGAGCAAACAGG